UUAUCGUACAACCGAGGUGCGGAGGGCUGUCGCUGACUUUUGUCGUGCACGCCCAAAGUGCUCUCAAACAAUAUCCAUCUCACCCAUUUGUGCAUCAUCGCGUGGGUCCUGCUUUUUGGCUUGUCCCAAGGAGGGGGGCUCGCGUUUUCACACAAACACCCUUUUAAUGCAGUGUAGAAUGUUCUUUUGCGAUGACUCGCAAUAAAUACAACUUUCAACAACGGAUCUCUUGGCUCUCGCAUCGAUGAAGAACGCAGCGAAAUGCGAUACGUAAUGUGAAUUGCAGAAUUCAGUGAAUCAUCGAAUCUUUGAACGCACCUUGCGCCCCUUGGCAUUCCGAGGGGCACACCCGUUUGAGUGUCGUGACAUUCUCAAAAAGAACCCUUCUUGGUCUUGCGAUCGGGAAAGGCUUUUUUUUGGACUUUGGAGGUUAUUGCUGGUCCCCCCUUGAUAGCCAGCUCCUCUUAAANGAAUUAGUAGGGACCGCUUUGCUGACCCUAGACGUGAUAAGAUGUUUCUGCGUCUUGGG
rnacentral:misc_RNA from 1 species